rnacentral:rRNA from 1 species
GCCAGGAGACAGGUGCUGCAUGGCUGUCGUCAGCUCGUGUCGUGAGAUGUUGGGUUAAGUCCCGCAACGAGCGCAACCCUUGUCUUUAAUUGCCAUCAUUCAGUUGGGCACUUUAAAGAGACUGCCGGUGUUAAACCGGAGGAAGGUGGGGAUGACGUCAAGUCCUCAUGGCCUUUAUGCCCAGGGCUACACACGUGCUACAAUGGGUGGUACAAAGAGAUGCAAUCUCGCAAGAGCAAGCAAACCUCAAAAGCCAUCCUCAGUUCGGAUUGGAGUCUGCAACUCGACUCCAUGAGGUCGGAAUCGCUAGUAAUCGCGGAUCAGCACGCCGCGGUGAAUACGUUCCCGGGCCUU